GCUGUAAUGGCUGAGUGUUUAAUGUGUUGGAUUAUAAAUCCAAUAGGGUUUCCUGGUGCAGGUUCAAAUCCUGCUCACAGCG
rfam:Pelodiscus sinensis unplaced genomic scaffold scaffold6207, whole genome shotgun sequence.